rnacentral:rRNA from 1 species
UCGCCUGUUUAUCAAAAACAUCGCCUCUUGCUAAACCGAAAAUAUAAGAGGUCCCGCCUGCCCUGUGACUAUAUGUUUAACGGCCGCGGUAUUUUGACCGUGCGAAGGUAGCGCAAUCACUUGUCUCUUAAAUGGGGACCUGUAUGAAUGGCAUAACGAGGGCUUGACUGUCUCCUCUUUCAAGUCAAUGAAAUUGAUCUCCCCGUGCAGAAGCGGGGAUACGCUCAUAAGACGAGAAGACCCUAUGGAGCUUUAGGCACUAAAGCAGAUCAGCAUUAAUACCCUAAACACAGGGCACGAAUAAACUGAACCCUGCCCUAAUGUCUUAGGUUGGGGCGACCGCGGAGAAAUAAAAAACCCCCGCAAGGACCGAAUGUACUACAUUCACAACCAAGAGCGACAGCUCUAAUUAACAGACACUUCUGACCAAUAAGAUCCGGCAACGCCGAUCAAUGGACCAAGUUACCCUAGGGAUAACAGCGCAAUCUCCUCUUAGAGCCCGUAUCAACGAGGAGGUUUACGACCUCGAUGUUGGAUCAGGACAUCCUAAUGGUGCAGCCGCUAUUAAGGGUUCGUUUGUUCAACGAUUAAAGUCCUACGUGAUCUGAGUUCAGACCGGA